rnacentral:rRNA from 1 species
CAAUAGCGUAUAUUAAAGUUGUUGCAGUUAAAAAGCUCGUAGUUGGAUUUGUGGCGUACGGUGUGUUCCGGGCACUUGUUGUCUGAGUAACCUGCUGUUGCCAUCCUUGGGUGGAACCUGUGUGGCAUUAGGUUGUCGUGCAGGGGAUGCCCAUCAUUUACUGUGAAAAAAUUAGAGUGUUCAAAGCAGGCUUAUGCCGUUGAAUAUAUUAGCAUGGAAUAAUGAGAUAGGACUUUUUUGCUAUUUUGUUGGUUUGCGCAAGAAGGUAAUGAUUAAUAGGGACAGUCGGGGGUAUUCGUAUUCCAUUGUCAGAGGUGAAAUUCUUGGAUUUUUGGAAGACGAACUACUGCGAAAGCAUUUACCAAGGAUGUUUUCAUUAA